GACAGAGGUGCCGAGCGUUAGGCGGAAUCACUGGGCUUAAAGCGUGUGUAGGCGGAUCUGUAAGUACCUUGUGAAAUCCCACGGCUCAACCGUGGAACUGCUCGGUAUACUGCGGAUCUUGAGCCACCUAGGGGCAACCGGAACAAAUGGUGGAGCGGUGAAAUGCGUAGAUAUCAUUUGGAACGCCAAUGGUGAAAACAGGUUGCUGGGGGUGUGCUGACGCUGAGACACGAAAGCCAGGGGAGCGAACGGG
rnacentral:rRNA from 1 species